rnacentral:rRNA from 1 species
GAGUUUGAUCCUGGCUCAGAGCGAACGCUGGCGGCAGGCUUAACACAUGCAAGUCGAGCGGGNGUAGCAAUACGUCAGCGGCAGACGGGUGAGUAACGCGUGGGAACAUACCUUUUGGUUCGGAACAACACAGGGAAACUUGUGNUAAUACCGAAUAAGCCCUUACGGGGAAAGAUUUAUCGCCGAAAGAUUGGCCCGCGUCUGAUUAGCUAGUUGGUGAGGUAAUGGCUCACCAAGGNGACGAUCAGUAGCUGGUCUGAGAGGAUGAUCAGCCACAUUGGGACUGAGACACGGCCCAAACUCCUACGGGAGGCAGCAGUGGGGAAUAUUGGACAAUGGGCGCAAGCCUGAUCCAGCCAUGCCGCGUGAGUGAUGAAGGCCCUAGGGUUGUAAAGCUCUUUUGUGCGGGAAGAUAAUGACGGUACCGCAAGAAUAAGCCCCGGCUAACUUNGUGCCANCAGCCNCGGUAAUA